rnacentral:rRNA from 1 species
UUUCCUACGGGGCGCAGCAGUGAGGAAUAUUGGUCAAUGGGCGCAAGCCUGAACCAGCCAAGUCGCGUGAGGGAUGACGGUCCUAUGGAUUGUAAACCUCUUUUGUCGGGGAGCAAGGCCCGCCACGUGUGGCGGGAAGGAGAGUACCCGAAGAAAAAGCAUCGGCUAACUCCGUGCCAGCAGCCGCGGUAAUACGGAGGAUGCGAGCGUUAUCCGGAUUUAUUGGGUUUAAAGGGUGCGCAGGCGGAAGAUCAAGUCAGCGGUAAAAUUGAGAGGCUCAACCUCUUCGAGCCGUUGAAACUGGU